rnacentral:rRNA from 1 species
GACGUAGGGCGCGAGCGUUGUCCGGAUUUAUUGGGCGUAAAGAGCUCGUAGGCGGCUUGUCGCGUCGUUCGUGAAAACCUGCAGCUCAACUGCAGGCUUGCGGUCGAUACGGGCAGGCUGGAGUUCGGUAGGGGAGACUGGAAUUCCUGGUGUAGCGGUGAAAUGCGUAGAUAUCAGGAGGAACACCGGUGGCGAAGGCGGGUCUACUCGGCG